CUUUCCUUGUGGCUCAGCUGGUGAAGAGUCUGCCUGCAGUGUGGGAGAUCUGGGUUCCAUCCCUGAGUUGGGAAGAUCCUCUGGAGCCCCUGGAGAAGGGAAAGGCUACCCAUUCCAGUACUCUGACCUGGAGAAUUCCAUGGACUCUGUAGCCCAUGGGGUCUCAAAGGGUCGGACAUGACUGCGUGACUUUCACUCACUUGGCCGAUGGCAGAGUUUUCAAAACACAGAGAAUGAAACUGGAGGCUAGGAAUAGGCAGUCGAGCAGCAGUGUUAAAUAUGGCUGCCAACGCCCUGCCUCUCCUCCCGUGGAGAGCGGAGAGGCUGACCGCAUGAGGCUGCACAGCUGCUACUCCGGAGUCCUGAGUGACCAGGAAGGAAGGGUGUUCAACUCCUCCGAGACCUCCGGGCCCUGGGGAAGCCUGAACCACGUGGAGGGGCCACACAGAGCGGUGCUGGGAGAUGGUCCUGGCCCAGGGACCAGAUAUGGCAGAGCAGAGCAGAGAUGUCCCCACUGUGGCCUUUCAGGAUAACUGGCCCACAGCCUUCAUGAGGAGAAUAACCAUGAGCUUCAUGGUUGUGGCUCUACAUCCGGAGAAGGCAAUGGCCCCCCACCCCAGUGCUCUCGCCUGGAAAAUCCCAUGGACAGGGGGAGCCUGGUGGGCUGCAGUCCAUGUGGUCACGAAGAGUCGGACACAGCUGAGCG
ensembl:lncRNA